UGGGAAAGGCGAGCGUAUAUUUCGUUAACGAGCCCGCGAGGAAACCAGCGCCAGUAGCUCAGCGCUCCAGGUCCGCUGCAGAGGUUCUGCGGUGCCAAGGGUUAAUGCUGGAAAAACAUCUUAUCAGAACUAUUCGGCCAUCUGUAUAUUUUUCGGCAUGUCCGUGGAUGACAUAGUUAGCGUUUACCCAGUUCAUUUUCUCCGGCUUGCUUCCUGUAUUUGUCUAGGUAGCCAGAUACUUAUGUAAGCAAGUGUCGGGUUGAAAAAGGGGCUGUAGACUUUUUUUUUUUUUUUCCCAGUCUCAACCCAGUCCUUAUGCUUUUCUCUCUCAUCCCAACAAGAUAACUUUGUUAGCUUGGUAACAGUAGCCUUCUUGCUGUUUACUUACUUAUUUAUUUAUUUAUUUUUUACAAAGCAAUGCAACUUUUCUAAGAGGGAUCAAAAGAUGUUUUGGGGAGUCAAUGUGCAACUAAAUUUCGGAUACGCCGCGGUGAAAUAAACCGUUGCAAAUCGAUUCAAGCUGUCACGCUAUGAUGUUAAAGUUCCUCAGCUGAGUUAUAGGUGCGAGCCGCAGAAGAUAAGGCGUCCUGACGCGCGAGGGCCCCGGUGUGAUGUCCUUCCAGAAAGCUCCGCCAGCUCCUCCUCGGGAAAAACAAAAAGAACGAGAAGA